UGGCUUUUCGUGGGUUUGUUUCUGCCUUAUUAGUGCAAGUCUUUCACCUGCUAGCUAAGAGCAAUACUAUUGAGAUGGUCCAAGUAAUGGAAAUCUAGAAAGUUCCCUCUUAAUCAAGCUGUGAAACGGUAUCAGUAUCUCAAAGUUGGUCAAAGUUUUGAUGUUGAGCUUACUUUGGCAGCAUGUGAUGAAGUGAUGUGAAUGAAGAUGUGAGCUAAAUCAAGUUAAACAAGUUACAUCUAGUCAGGCCACAAGUUUGGUUUAGAUGUGAAUAAUGUGUGGUUAGGUAGCUGUGAUUAUUGGUGCUUUUUGUACAGAUGUAUGCUCAUGCAUUUUUUAGCUCCUGAAGAACUGCAAUUGCUUAUGAGGUUGAUGAUGGUUCUAUAGGGCUUUAUAUAGAAUCUUUCUGACUUUUAAGAUUAGUGAAGCUGGAAUCAUUUGCUGAACUUUUGUUCUUUAGCGUCAAUUGUCUCCAUGUUGGGUUAGUCGAGAAUCGUUUUGAGGUUUCUAAUCACGUAAAUCACACAGAGUGAGUGGAGGUUGACAGGUGAUUUAUUUAGGUAUUUUCCUAUCAAAUUGAUGGCCUGGGGGCUUUCACCAUGGAGUCAAAGCCAUU
rnacentral:lncRNA from 1 species